GACGAACGCUGGCGGCGUGCUUAACACAUGCAAGUCGAACGGACUACUUUGCUUCGGUAAGGUGGUUAGUGGCGAACGGGUGAGUAACGCGUAGACAACCUACCUCUUAGAUGGGGACAACAUCGCGAAAGCGGUGCUAAUACCGAAUGAAGUGACUUUCCUGCAUGGGCGAGAUACUAAAGGUGGCCUCUAUUUAUAAGCUACCACUGAGAGAUGGGUCUGCGUCUGAAUUAGCUAGUUGGCGGGGUAACGGCGCACCAAGGCGACGAGCGGUAGCCGGUCUGAGAGGAUGAACGGCCACAUUGUGACUGGGACACGGCCCAAACGCCUACGGGAGGUAGCAGUGGGGAAACUUCCGCAAUGGACGAAAGUCUGACGGAGCAACGCCGCGUGAGUGAAGAAGGUUUUCGGAUCGUAAAGCUCUGUUGUUUGAGACGAAUGUGCCUGUUUCGAAUAGGGAUAGGUAAUGACGGUAUUAAACGAGAAAGCCACGGCUAACUACGUGCCAGCAGCCGCCGUAA
rnacentral:rRNA from 1 species